GUGAGACACGAGCGUUCAUUUGUAGUGGAGACGCUGCGCAAGUAACACCGUGCGUCUUCUCAUGGGUUUUAUUAAGUUUAUAAGUUUUGUGCUGGUUUGGUGUUAUCGUUGUCGUGGUGUUGCUGUUAGUCGUGAAGGCAGAACCAUUCGAUUGUGUUGAACGACACGGCUGCCGAGAAGGCAUGGAACACACACCUAGGCCAGAGUUGUUCCAGCGCUAGCAAGUGAGAACGGUGAUCGGUGAUCUGGAACUGUUGGCCUGCCGUGUAGUGAUGUGACGUGCUGGUGCUGCUGCUGGUGCUGCUGCUGCGUGAAUGCGAGCUGCUGUCACUGUUGAAGGGAGUGUCGCCGCUUAUCUCCAUCCUGCUCCAGGAAACGGACUGGUGCUGCACUGGGACACAUAGAUGCUAUCUCCUGCCUUGCAUCACCUUCUAGGGAGGGACUGCACCUCACACCUCAUUGCCCUGCCAGUAGCUCCAUGUUGCUGUAGAGAGGAAGCUUACCAUGCAGGAAGGACAGAAUUUAUUUAUUUUUUGUGUAAGUGUAAACUGGCCAAGGGCAACAAAAUAAAGGUUUACUUGAUUGCCAGAUUUCAUAAGUUCAACAGUUCGCCAAAAGACUAGUUAGCAGAAGAUGGGAACAAAUAUAUGAAGAUGGAAAUACAGAAGCAGGCAUGGAGUUCCAGAGUUGACUGUUUUUGCCAACAGCUAGUUGCUUCCUACCUGGAGAGAAGAGACUUAAGCUGUGUACUGCUGAUUUGAUGUUAUUUCCUUUGUCUGAAUAUACCUGUGAGCUGUGGUUCCAGUACUCAUUAAUAAAUUGAGAUUGAUUU